CGGGCUGGCAGCCAGCGCCCGUAAGGGGGAGGCCCGCGCUCCCGCCCCCGCCCGCGCGGCCCGGGUCUGCGGGGCUUCGGGCGGACAGGCUCGCGCCGCGUAGUUACAAAUAGACAUGGCAGAGCCCGCAGGACCCGGCCCUCCUGGUGGUCACCUGUCAUCACAAGGAACUCCAUCCCAGCUGGGGGUGUGGGGGUGGACACUCAGUGCUACUUAUUGCUGCUCCGUGCUUCUGGAUUCACUGAUCCUGCCUCCUCUACAGCUGAUAAUGAGAUAAGAGGGAGAGCGAGAGACAGCAAUGGAGAGACACCACUGCACCUUUGUGUCCCUUUGUGUGUGCUCCCGCGUGGUGGCUGAGGGCUCAGAUCCAGGUCUUGGACAUGAUAAAAGUGUGUGUUCUACUGGGGAAGGUAGCUCCAGCUCCUAGAUCUAUACUUGUCAAUGAUUUAUUUCUUCAUUUAUUUUGGGGUAGUAGGGUCUUGUGCACACUUGAGUUCACUGCUUCAGGAAGUAGAAGACACCAACACUGGAGCUUCCCCUGAUGCUAUGGUACUCUCCCAGCAUUGCUGGGGCUCAAACCCUGCCAGUGGUGGUGGUGGUGGUGGUGGUGGUGGUGGUGGUGGUGUGUGUGUGGGGGGGUCGUCCCACAGUGACAGGCCAGACUUUGGACGACGUCGGGGGAUCGCACGUCGCUGGUAUGACACCCCAUCAUAUUCGCAGCCCAGAUUUGGGGAAGCUGGCUGACACCCCCCCAGGGCAAACCAGGGGGCGGGGACCCCAGCACGUCCCAGCAGAAGAGGCCCUGCCCCGUCCACCCCACCCCCACCUUUGCAACCUAGGAGGGUCCAAUGUUCAAAGUCAGAACAUUUUUCUCUCGAAAGUACAAGGGGAGAGGGGUGAGGCACAGGGACAAGGGUCUUUCUCACACCCCGUGGCACCAAACUAAAGAUCCACCAGGGGGUGCCCCUGACUCCCUCUCUAAACUGGCAGGAACUAGCGCCCCCUACAGAGCGCAGGGCCCACCCUCCCUGGCGCACGGACUCAUUCUUCCCUUCCUACUCUCCUCCCCUCUCUUUCCCUUCCCCUCUUUCUUUCCCCUCCUCCCCCUCCUAACUCUAACCCUUACCCUCCUUCUCUCCUCCCCCUUUUCUUAGCUCCUCUCCCUCCACCUCCCCUCUCCCUUCCUACUCCCUUCUCCCCUCCCGCUUCUCUCCCUCCUCUCCUCCCCCCCUCCCUCCUCCUCUUCCUCCCCAUCCAGCUGUGAUAUCUGGAUGCCACCUGGGAUCUGCCUGAACCCCUCAGGAACAGCUGGUGAUGCCUCCUUUUGUCUUUCCAGAACCCUCUGCAGUCAGGGUAGCCCUCAGCUUCGGGGCCUCCAGCAGAGGGGGUGGUCUCCACCCCAGCAGAGAAGGAAGUGAGUCUCCAAAUCCCAGCAGUGACCCCAGUGAGAGCCCUCUACUGACCGGGCUGCACUGACCCCUCUCCCACGGCCAGGCAGGGGGGCGGCUCUGGGGACACUGGCUGAUUCCUCCUAGUCCUGACCCAGAGGUCCUUCCCCUAGGACCCCACUUUCCACAUCUGGGGCCACAGCCUAAGGGUCCCCCCUAUCCUGUUACCUAGGCCACUGGCUCCUGGACACACCUGUCUGUACAGAUGGGACCUGGUGCCUCCACCUCCACCCUAGUCAAGUCACACAGCUUUUUAAAAUUUAUUUUUGGGAGUUGGGCGGUAGCACAGCGGGUUAAGCGCAAAGGGCAAGGACAGACCAGUGUAAGGAUCCCUGUCUGAGCCCCGGCUCCAGCCCCUGGCUCCCCACUUGCAGGGCAGUCACUUCACAGGCAAUGAAGCAGGUCUUUCUCUCCCCCUCUCUGUCUUCCCCUCCUCUCUCCAUUCUUCUCAUAUCCAACAACGACAUCAAUAACAACAACAAUAAUAACUACAACAACAAUAAAAAAAAAAAAGGGCAACAAAAGGGGAAAAUACAUAAAAAAUACAUAAAAACAAAAUGAAAAUGGGCGUAUUGCACCAAAGUAAAAGACUCUGGGGUGGGUGGGUGGGUAGAAUACAGGUCCAUGAAGGAUGAUAAAUGACAUAGUGGGGAUUGUAUUGUUAAAUGGGAAACUGGGGAAUGUUAUGCAUGUACAAACUAUUGUAUUUACUGUUGAAUGUAAAACAUUAAUUCCCCAAUUAAAAAAAAAACACUGAUAAAAAAAAAAGAAAAUGGAGUGGAGGAUGGGGGGUUUGACUAACAGACUGCAGCAGAAGAGGGAAGGGGAGCUGAGGCAGCACUAAGCCAGCUCGGGCCACCUCAGGGCUAAGGUAUGUUUCUAGAACCUCAAGAUCAGGUGAUUCUCUUCUGUGCCCCUCACUUUCACCUCAACCCAACUGUAGU